rnacentral:lncRNA from 1 species
ACCUCCACAGGACGAGGACCUGCAUUCCCAGCAUGUGGGGGUCCCCAGGCCCGUGGUGGGGGUGGCUUUAUAUACCUCUUCCUCAGUCACGCAAAUGCAAGUUUUUGUGGUGGAGGUUAAGGCCUGUGACAAAGGAUCUUAAACCUUGCAGUGUAUGCAGUGAACGUUGUAUUCCACAGAUAUAAAUAUUUUCUUUUCCUAUUACCGUGACACUGUGUGUGAUGGUAAUAUUUCUGAGAGUUUCAGAUUUUUGCACAUAUGAUUUUAUGCAUUAUCAAAAGUUACUGCUGCCUUGAAUGAAAAUGUUCUGUGAAAUUUUUUGCAAAAGCUUUACUAGGUUUUUUUUAAUUGUGAAAUUUUGUAAAGGCAGGAAAUGGAUUAAAAACGAGCAUGCUAAGUAUAUUUUUCAAAAAAGCAAUAAUUUUACAUGUACAGAAAUUAUCCUAACCUUUAAUACUGGUGAGAGCGACCGUUUACUUAAUACAGUAAUGGAUUAGUGCAGUUUUUGUAGAAAAUGGGCUUCUGAUACAAAGACUUGUUUAAACACACACACACACACACACACACACACACACACCCUAAAGUGUGGUUUUCUUGUUCUAAUGAUUUGUUGAAUUAUUAUAUUAUUAUUAUUAUUGUUGUUGUUAUUAGUUGAUUUUAAAUUACUUGACGGUUCAGGUUACUUUGCAGCAUUUGCAAACAAUGCAAUGUAACUGGCUAGCUUAUACACACACAGGUAUAUAUACAUAUAUUGACAUGAUAUAUGUGUAUAUAUAUAUACUUUUUUUACUUAUUUUUUCCUGAUACUCUUACACCAGAUGUGUACCAGAAUUAUCUGUUGUGUUGGUGUCGUUAGGAAUGUCUGUGCAGAUACUAUAAAGCGGCUGUAAUUGACUGUUCUGUAAAGUUAUUUUGAGCAAAGAUACAUUACAGAGAUACAUUCCUUUGUUCACCUUAGAAAUCAAAAUGCCUUUCUGUUGAUUUAUGUUGGAUCAUUUCGAUAGUUUCCCCAAAGUGAUAAUUUCUGCAUUUUCUGGCUUUUAUUUUCUUGGUUGAAAGUGAAUGGUGACAGUUCAGGAAUGCACAGGGGCUAGUGAUUCAGUCCUGUCUGUUUCUCUGUGUUUUAGUUAUUAAAAGAAAUUCUGUACCCAAA